rnacentral:rRNA from 1 species
UACGAAGGGGGCUAGCGUUGUUCGGAUUUACUGGGCGUAAAGCGCGUGUAGGCGGGUCGUUAAGUUGGGGGUGAAAUCCCGAGGCUCAACCUCGGAACUGCCUCAAAAACUGGCGACCUGGACUCAAGCAGAGGCAAGUGGAAUUGCGAGUGUAGAGGUGAAAUUCGUAGAUAUUAGCAGGAACACCAGUGGCGAAGGCGACUUGCUGGGCUUGUAGUGAUGCUGAGACGCGAAAGCGUGGGGAGCAAACAGG